ACAAUUACAAUUUUAGGAAAUAUUAUUAUACUGGGAAUUGACAUUUUUAGCAGUAUAUAUGUGUAUUAUUUUCAUUGUCUUUUAUUGAUUGUAACAUAUAAUAAAUAAAGUUUUGUUUAAAAAAAAAAAAACAUUGUUAUCAUAUGUAAUGAAUUGUUUUAUUGCACACAAAAUUAAUGUUUGAUUAAUUUUUGCGUUAUGUAUUUAUUAUUUUUUUAAAAUUGUCAUGUAUUAAUAUACUUUGCAUUUAUUUUUAAUUUUAAUUAAAAUGUAAAUGACUUAUGGAUAUUAUAAAAAUAUUGUAGACGAUAAGCACUUUUGGGAAUGAAUAGGAUUGUAUUAAAUAUAUACAAAGUAAUACGCACCUUUAAUCAUCUGAUAAACAUAAAUGUGUUUGCAAGGGCUAUAAUAAAAUCUCACAAAUAAAGAAUAAUGAAAGUUUUUGUAAUUUGUGACUAUUAAUUAUCACUUUUCUUUAAACACUAAAUAUUACACUUAUGUUGGUAUUAAAUUAUAUGCAUAUUUUAUGUAGGGUGUAUAAGUUUUUUUUGUUUUUUUUUUAUACAUUCAAUAAAUGAAAAGCACCAAACAAAAUGAUUAAUUUUUUUCUUUUUGUAAUAUAAAUAAACAAAUUUUAACAUGUUUAUAUUAUUAAAAUGCUUUUUAUUAAAAUUUUUGUUUUUAUCAUUUUAAUACAAUUCUCCCAAUUUUACUGCGAGGUAACAUAUCAUGAAAAUCAGACAUCUAAUGACAAAGUUUACGAAAAAAUAAUUGAAAUUAAUACAGUGUUUGAAACGAUUGAAGAAUUAAAUCAAUCCCUAGUACAAAGUAACAGUGUGGAAUUACUUGAUCCAGAAGAGUUAUUAAAUGAAACGAGUUUAUCUAAUAAAACAUUA